AUUGAACGCUGGCGGCGUGCCUAAUACAUGCAAGUCGAGCGCAGGAAGCCGUUCCGAACCCUUCGGGGGGACGAACGGUGGAAUGAGCGGCGGACGGGUGAGUAACACGUAAAGAACCUGCCCAUAGGUCUGGGAUAACCACGAGAAAUCGGGGCUAAUACCGGAUGUGUCAUCGGACCGCAUGGUCCGCUGAUGAAAGGCGCUCCGGCGUCGCCCAUGGAUGGCUUUGCGGUGCAUUAGCUAGUUGGUGGGGUAACGGCCAACCAAGGCGACGAUGCAUAGCCGACCUGAGAGGGUGAUCGGCAACACUGGGACUGAGACACGGCCCAGACUCCUACGGGAGGCAGCAGUAGGGAAUCUUCCACAAUGGACGAAAGUCUGAUGGAGCAACGCCGCGUGAACGAUGAAGGCUUUCGGGUCGUAAAGUUCUGUUGUAAGGGAAGAACAAGUGCCGCAGGCAAUGGCGGCACCUUGACGGUACCUUGCGAGAAAGCCACGGCUAACUACGUGCCAGCCGCCGCCGUAA
rnacentral:rRNA from 1 species